UCUGCAGUUCUGCAGUCCUGCAGGGCGGGGCAAACCUGGAGAGGCGCUGCGUCGGGGGACCUGGCUACAAGCCGUCGCUGGGGGCGGGGCUUGCGGCCCACCUGUCAGUCCCGGUGCCACCUGGUCUGUGUCCCGGGAGAUCCCCAGAAGAAAGAGAGGGCUGAACAGGGGACCCCACUGACGUCCGAUGGGCCGACUUUACGAUCUUUUAGGGUCUCUAUGAAGUCAGAGCUAUUACUAUCAGCAUUUUACCCACGAAGAAGCCGAGGUUUAGAGAGAUUAUUUUCCAGGAACUGGAUAGCCAGCAAGAUGUGAAGCAGGGUAAUCUGUCUCCUGAGUCUAUGCUCUUCAGUGCCACCACUGUUUCCCCAAAUGAAGAAACUAAGACUCAGAGAAGACAAAUGACCUGCCCAAAGACACAUUGAUAAGAGCCCAUCUGGUAGUGGUGUUCUAGUCCAGUGUUGCAGCAGAGAGAUGGGUAACUGUAUGGCGGAACAUCUGUCCUCUCGUGGAAGAAGGAGGCCAAUGUUCAGGAGUGGCAGGCAUACUGGAACUUGGACUUCUGUAGGCCAACCUGGGUUCCACUUGGUAGAUGGGGGUCUUGCUGUGUUGCCCAGGCUGGUCUCAAACUCCUGGCCUCAAGCAGUCAUCCUCCCUUAGCCUCCAGAGUAGCUGGGACUACAGGUGCACACCACUGCAACCCCUCAGUGGUUGUUAUUUAACUGAAAGGGGUUUUAGCUGUCAUAUGUCAGCUCACUCUGGAGCCAGACAGCCUGGCCUUCAUGCCAGCUCUGCCCCUUACUAGCUGUGUGACAUCGGGCAACAUUACUGAGUGUCAGAUUUCUUAUUUGUAAAACAGGGAUAAAAAUGAGAUUGCUGUGCAAAUUAAAGAAUCCAUGUGAAAUAUUUAGCACACUGGCAUACAAUGAGAGCUUAAUAAACAUUGUUAGUUUUGUAAACUGAGGGAAAAAAAUAGCCACAGGCCUGCGAACAUAAAUGCUUGGUAAGCUUCUCAGUUCCCUGGAAGUCUGACAAGCAAUGCCUAUGUAUGAACAAGGCAGGAGGAAGCAUGACACCAAGCCUUCCUUUUAACAAACACUGUUUAAAUCAGAGGUCGGAAGUCAUGGACUGGAGAUUCAUUCUCUCCCCAUCAUUUCUGCCCAGAGACACCUGGUGAUCUGGCAUACACAGUGCUAUGAACCUCAGAAUUACUUGCUAGCAUUUACAAAUUGUGAGUACUCCCACAUACAAACUGUGGUAGAUGGAAUAAUGCCUCCCCACAAAAAUGUCCACAGCCUAAUCCCUGGAACCUGGGAAUAUGUUACUUUACACGGCAAAGGAAUGUUGCAGCUGUGAUUGGAGAUUGAGAUAGGGAGAGUGUAUUAGUCUGUUGUCAUGCGGCUAUGAAGAAAUACUUGAGACUGGGUAAUUUACAAAUAAAAGAGGUUUAAUUGUC